AAAGCGCGCGUAGGUGGUUAUAUAAGACAGAUGUGAAAUCCCCGGGCUCAACCUGGGAACUGCAUUUGUGACUGUAUAGCUGGAGUGCGGCAGAGGGGGAUGGAAUUCCGCGUGUAGCAGUGAAAUGCGUAGAUAUGCGGAGGAACACCGAUGGCGAAGGCAAUCCCCUGGGCCUGCACUGACGCUCAUGCACGAAAGCGUGGGGAGCAAACAGGAUUAGAUACCCCUGU
rnacentral:rRNA from 1 species